rnacentral:rRNA from 1 species
CCUACGGGAGGCAGCAGUAGGGAAUUUUCGGCAAUGGGGGGAACCCUGACCGAGCAACGCCGCGUGAGUGAAGAAGGCCUUCGGGUCGUAAAGCUCUGUUGACCGGGACGAAUUGGCGGGAGAGAAUCCUGCAGUGACGGUACCGGUCGAGGAAGCCACGGCUAACUACGUGCCAGCAGCCGCGGUAAU